AUUGAACGCUGGCGGCAGGCCUAACACAUGCAAGUCGAACGGUAACAGAAAGCAGCUUGCUGCUUUGCUGACGAGUGGCGGACGGGUGAGUAAUGUCUGGGAAACUGCCUGAUGGAGGGGGAUGACUACUGGAAACGGUAGCUAAUACCGCAUAACGUCGCAAGACCAAAGAGGGGGACCUUCGGGCCUCUUGCCAUCGGAUGUGCCCAGAUGGGAUUAGCUAGUAGGUGGGGUAACGGCUCACCUAGGCGACGAUCCCUAGCUGGUCUGAGAGGAUGACCAGCCACACUGGAACUGAGACACGGUCCAGACUCCUACGGGAGGCAGCAGUGGGGAAUAUUGCACAAUGGGCGCAAGCCUGAUGCAGCCAUGCCGCGUGUAUGAAGAAGGCCUUCGGGUUGUAAAGUACUUUCAGCGGGGAGGAAGGGAGUAAAGUUAAUACCUUUGCUCAUUGACGUUACCCGCAGAAGAAGCACCGGCUAACUCCGUG
rnacentral:rRNA from 1 species